GGGGAAUAUUGCGCAAUGGAGGAAACUCUGACGCAGCAACGCCGCGUGAAGGAAGAAGGCCUUCGGGUUGUAAACUUCUUUGAUCGGGGACGAAAAUGACGGUACCCGAGGAACAAGCCACGGCUAACUACGUGCCAGCAGCCGCGGUAAUACGUAGGUGGCAAGCGUUGUCCGGAAUUACUGGGUGUAAAGGGCGUGUAGGCGGGGGAGCAAGUCAGAUGUGAAAGCCCAUGGCUUAACUGUGGAAUUGCAUCUGAAACUGUUCUUCUUGAGUGCUGGAGAGGAAAGUGGAAUUCCUAGUGUAGCGGUGAAAUGCGUAGAGAUUAGGAGGAACACCAGUGGCGAAGGCGGCUUUCUGGACAGUAACUGACGCUGAGGCGCGAAAGCGUGGGGAGCAAAC
rnacentral:rRNA from 1 species